rnacentral:rRNA from 1 species
AGUGAACGCUGGCGGUAGGCCUAACACAUGCAAGUCGAACGGCAGCACAGUAAGAGCUUGCUCUAACGAGUUGCGAGUAGCGGACGGGUGAGGUAUACAUCGGACUCUACUUUUUCGUGGGGGAUUACGUAGGGAAACUUACGCUCAUAUCGCAUACGACCUACGGGUGAAAGCACGGGAUCUUCGGCACUUGCGCGCUUGAGUGAGCCGAUGUCGGAUAAGGUAUUUGUCGGGGAAAAGGCCAACCAAGGCGACGAUCCGUAGCUGGUCUGAGAGGACGAUCAGGCAUACGGGAACGAAGACACGGUCCAGAAUCCUGCGGGUGGCAGCAGUGGUGAAUAUUGGACAAUGGGCGCAAGCCUGAUCAAGCCAUACCGCGUGAGUGAAGAAGGCCUUCGGGUUGUAAAGCGCUUUUGUGGGGUAAGAAAAGCAGCAGGUUAAUACCCCGCUGUUCUGACGUUACCCAAAGAAUAAGCACCGGCUAACUUCGUG